AGUUAAAAAUUCCAUCCAAUUGUACUGUUAAAAAUUGACAUAGUUGACGAAAUAACCAGAUAAUGACAUGUGACGUACCAUGUGUACCUCAUGUUGAUAUAUAUGAACCAGUUUUUAACAAUAAAAAUGAAUAGAAUUUUUAACA
rfam:Gossypium hirsutum cultivar TM-1 unplaced genomic scaffold scaffold2234.1, whole genome shotgun sequence